rnacentral:rRNA from 1 species
GACGAACGCUGGCGGCGUACCUAAUACAUGCAAGUCGAGCGGACUUUCAAGAAGCUUGCUUUUUGAAAGUUAGCGGCGGACGGGUGAGUAACACGUGGGCAACCUGCCUGUAAGACGGGGAUAACUCCGGGAAACCGGGGCUAAUACCGGAUAAUAUCUUUCUUCGCAUGAAGGAAGGUUGAAAGGCGGCGCAAGCUGCCGCUUGCAGAUGGGCCCGCGGCGCAUUAGCUAGUUGGUGAGGUAACGGCUCACCAAGGCGACGAUGCGUAGCCGGCCUGAGAGGGUGACCGGCCACACUGGGACUGAGACACGGCCCAGACUCCUACGGGAGGCAGCAGUAGGGAAUCUUCCGCAAUGGACGAAAGUCUGACGGAGCAACGCCGCGUGAGCGAAGAAGGUCUUCGGAUCGUAAAGCUCUGUUGUCAGGGAAGAACAAGUACCGUUCGAAUAGGGCGGUACCUUGACGGUACCUGACCAGAAAGCCACGGCUAACUACGUGCCAGCAGCCGCAGUAA